UCUCUCAACUCCUGGACCGCGCACUUCAGCUCAAGAUAUGUAAUAAUACAAUUUAGGAUUCAUUUCCAAAUCCUGUAGGAAACAAAUUUCAACACUUGUGUCUCUAACAGGCAGCGAUCUCUUGGAAUCAUGUUUCGACAAAAGCAGAAUCUGCUGUGGCUGAUGAUCAUCUAUUUUCUGUGCCAGAUAACCUGCUCAGAAAAACUGAUAAUCCCAGGUGAAUGUGCAAGCGCUUUAACAAACACAGGUACAAAGCUGGGAUGUCUAUCAUUCGUUGACUUCACAUCAUCAAG